rnacentral:rRNA from 1 species
CAGCCGCGGUAAUACGAAGGGGGCUAGCGUUGUUCGGAAGUACUGGGCGUAAAGCGCACGCAGGCGGUUCGGUCAGUCAGAAGUGAAAGCCCCGGGCUUAACCUGGGAACUGCUUUUGAUACUGCCGAGCUUGAAUCACGGAGAGGGUAGUGGAAUUCCGAGUGUAGAGGUGAAAUUCGUAGAUAUUCGGAAGAACACCAGUGGCGAAGGCGACUACCUGGCCGUCGAUUGACGCUCAUGUGCGAAAGCGUGGGGAGCAAAC